GACUUUUCGGAGAAGUGCAGCUCUAUCCUCUCUACUCUUGUGAAAGCAUAUGAAGACAUGGUCCACUUGGAGUUGUUCCUCAGAAAAUUCCAACAAAACAGCAAAACUAUCUUUGCUCCCAUCAGGUGUGCCAGGUGGAAUUUCACUAUAGAGGUUGUUUUUGUUUAACACAGCCCUCCAAUUGACUUGUCAGCCUGGAUUUAACAUAAAGUACUAUGGUCCUGUUGUUGGAUGUAAGCUCCUCUGUUUUGCUCAGCCUAUUAUCAGAAUAAAAUUAAUUAGCUGAAAGAUUGUGAUCCCUUUGAUUAUUCCCUAGCCCACUUGGGAUCUUCAGGGGUGGGCGAGGAACAUCAGGAACAUUACCGAGGCCCGGCACCCUGGUUACUACAGCAAUUGAAAGAAACUCUGGAACUUUCACUACUAUUACCGGGAAUACUCAGAGGCAUGGCACUUCUUUUAUUUCCUUCUUUCUCCCUGGCAAAGCAAUG